GGACGAACGCUGGCGGCGUGCUUAACACAUGCAAGUCGAACGGAAAGGCCCUGCUUUUGUGGGGUGCUCGAGUGGCGAACGGGUGAGUAACACGUGAGUAACCUGCCCUUGACUUUGGGAUAACUUCAGGAAACUGGGGCUAAUACCGGAUAGGAGCUCCUGCUGCAUGGUGGGGGUUGGAAAGUUUCGGCGGUUGGGGAUGGACUCGCGGCUUAUCAGCUUGUUGGUGGGGUAGUGGCUUACCAAGGCUUUGACGGAUAGCCGGCCUGAGAGGGUGACCGGCCACAUUGGGACUGAGAUACGGCCCAGACUCCUACGGGAGGCAGCAGUGGGGAAUAUUGCACAAUGGGCGGAAGCCUGAUGCAGCAACGCCGCGUGCGGGAUGACGGCCUUCGGGUUGUAAACCGCUUUCGCCUGUGACGAAGCGUGAGUGACGGUAAUGGGUAAAGAAGCACCGGCUAACUACGUG
rnacentral:rRNA from 1 species